UACGUAGGGUGCGAGCGUUAAUCGGAAUUACUGGGCGUAAAGCGUGCGCAGGCGGUUAGCCGUGUCCGAUGUGAAAGCCCCGGGCUCAACCUGGGAAUGGCAUUGGAAACUGGCUGGCUGGAGUGUGGCAGAGGGGGGUGGAAUUCCACGUGUAGCAGUGAAAUGCGUAGAGAUGCGGAGGAACACCGAUGGCGAAGGCAGCCCCCUGGGCUAACACUGACGCUCAGGCACGAAAGCGUGGGGAGCAAACAGG
rnacentral:rRNA from 1 species